rnacentral:tRNA from 2 species
GGUUCUGUAGUGAAAUUCAUGUU